GGUGCUGGUAUUACGUAUAUAUGAUAGACUCCCGUAGACCUGGUAGAUGACAAUACACUGACAAUUUAAAAGCAUUACAUAAAAAAAGAAAGCUAUCUUAAAAUAGGAAAUCUCCCCCAAAACAAAAUAUUUAUUAUACAUAUAAAAAUAUAGAGUUCUGCUCUCAAGAUACAAAUCACAAUAUAAAUAUGCGAAGGCUUGCAAAGCCAUGUAGAUUUCCAUAUUUAUUGAGCAUCCAUAAAGAUAGCUUCACACAAACUACCACUGAGAUUUGCAUUAAACCCCUUACUUUAGUAAUUUGAUGCAUGUGUGGUAUAUCAGUAGGUGCUCAUUUCAAAUGACAAAUAUUGAAGCAUUUAAUUCAGAGAACAAUUGUAGGAGUGCAGUUAUAAUGUUGGGUCCAUUUUGGGUUAUCGGCAAAAUAGAAUUAAAUGUAUCACUUAUAAUGCAAUCUAGCUUGGAUUAGAAAAUAAUUUGGCAAAUAGUGGAGGUUUGGAGACCCAAUUUAUAUCAAAAUGUACAUCUUUGUGUUAAAAGGUUUCUAUAGGAUAAAAUAAUGUAAAUGUGAUUUAAUACACAUGAGUUAAUAUACAACUAGGUAAUUAAAAAAAAAAGUUAAUUACAUUCUGUUGAUCUAAACAUGAAACAUUUUGCACAUUAAAUGGGAUUGUAAUGCACAUCUCUGAUAAACAUUAUUUUAAUGGAGUCUAUCAUAUUAAGGUUUUCAUUAACAUAUUGAAUAAGCAUACUCCUUAGAAAUUACCCAAGCUAAAUACUGUUCUAGCAAAUGUUGCUGGCUUACAUCAGUUUUAGUAUUAUCCGUGUUGUUACAGCUCUUGUAAUGUACCCUUUUAACUCAUCCCAGUCCUGUUUGUCAAUAUUUUACACCUAUCCACAGAUUGGAAACGUUUUGGCCACAUUGCAAUGCUUGGUGUUACUGUGGUUUUAAAAAAAAAAGUGCUUUAUCAGUGAGGAUUUUUAUUUGGAUAAUUGUCGUUGUUAUUCGAACAGAACAUUAUAUACCAAGAUUCUAUUUAGUGGUACGGCAACUGGUGCACAAAUAUCUUACAACAAAUCACAUCCAUUUAAUGUAUGUAAGAUAGCUCAGUGGUUAAAGAAGCACGUUUGUAUAUCUUAAAGUAACAUGUUUUAAAUUCAUCAAAGUCACAUCAGCUUUUCAUCCUUCUAAAGUAAUUCACAAACGGAGGAUACAGCACUCACACUUAGGAAUCCAGGUGCUUAUCAAGGCCAGGGUUGGCUAAACCCAGUUUAGUAGAUAAAAUAAAUUAGGUCCAGUCCCUCAGCAUUGCUGCAGAAAGAUAGGUUUAUUGGAACAAAAAGUGCAACGUUUCAGCCUACACAGAGGCCUUUAUCAUAAAGGCCUCUGUGUAGGCCGAAAUGUUGCACUUUUUGUUCCCAUAAACCUGCCUUUCAGAAACAAUCCUGAGUGACUG